rnacentral:sRNA from 1 species
GUUGACUUUCUCCUUCUCACAUAUCAAUUAUUCUGCCCUUUCCUGUUUGUUUCUGUUUGUUUUUCUCCCUCAGGUGCUCAGGAACAGCCCAUGGAAGAAUCAUAUGAAGAGGUGGUGACUGAGGUCGUAAGCAGGAGUGGACAUGUUUGGAUUUCCAACAGCUACCCUGCUGGACUGUCAUGGAAGAUAUGCCCAGAAUGUAGCGUUCUUCAGUGAGUGAGUCAGUUGAUGGCUGGAUGCGCUCAGCUCACAGAUAUUCAGUGCCCCUGUUCUCAGCACUGGUCGGCAGUCUGAGGACGCAAAGGAGACCUUGCUUUGAUGUGAUGACUGAAGCCCACCACAAAUAUGACCACUCUGAGGCUACAGGAUCCUCAAGCUGGGAUAUCCAAAAUUCUUUCAGAAGAGAGAAGCUGGAACAAAAAUCCCCAGAUUCGAAGACACUACAGGAAGAUUCACCUGGAGUGAGACAAA